rnacentral:rRNA from 1 species
AUUGAACGCUGGCGGAAUGCUUUACACAUGCAAGUCGAACGGUAGAGGGGGCAACCCUCGAGAGUGGCGAACGGGUGAGUAAUAUAUCGGAACGUGCCCAGUCGUGGGGGAUAACGUAGCGAAAGUUACGCUAAUACCGCAUACGAUCUACGGAUGAAAGCGGGGGAUCGCAAGACCUCGCGCGAUUGGAGCGGCCGAUAUCAGAUUAGGUAGUUGGUGGGGUAAAGGCUCACCAAGCCAACGAUCUGUAGCUGGUCUGAGAGGACGACCAGCCACACUGGAACUGAGACACGGUCCAGACUCCUACGGGAGGCAGCAGUGGGGAAUUUUGGACAAUGGGCGAAAGCCUGAUCCAGCCAUUCCGCGUGCAGGAUGAAGGCCCUCGGGUUGUAAACUGCUUUUGUACAGAACGAAAAGGUCUCUAUUAAUACUAGGGGCUCAUGACGGUACUGUAAGAAUAAGCACCGGCUAACUACGUG